rnacentral:miRNA from 1 species
CGAGUUGACUAGCGUUAUUCUACC